AGGUACUAUAAAGGUUCAGGUGUGGUAUAAAGGUUCAGGUGUGGUGGUGAUGUACUAUAAAGGUGU
rnacentral:lncRNA from 1 species